rnacentral:tRNA from 1 species
AGCAGUGUGGCUCAGUGGAAAGAGCACAGGCUUGGGAGUCAGAGGUCAUGAGUUCAAAUCCCAGCUCUGCCA